GUUGCUCUUCUACCGCAUCUCGAUGGUAGAGCCGGCCUCAGGGGCGCUUCGGCGUUGGUGUCUUCGGUGGGGAAAAGUGAGAGUUCCAACUUUCCUCUUGGCCUGAGAGGUUUUUGGCGCAGAGCGUCGUCAUGUCAGAGAAAAAGCAGCCGGUGGAUUUGGGUCUCUUGGAGGAGGACGACGAGUUCGAGGAGUUCCCUGCCGAAGACUGGGCUGGUUUAGAUGAAGAUGAAGAUGCACAUGUCUGGGAGGAUAAUUGGGAUGAUGACAAUGUAGAGGAUGACUUCUCCAAUCAGUUACGAGCUGAACUAGAGAAACAUGGUUAUAAGAUGGAGACCUCUUAGCAUCCAGAAGAAGUGUUGAAGCAACCUAAACUUGAACUGUACUAAAUUCUAAGUCAGAGAACCCAGGAUGGGACACUUAAAAAAAAAAAAAAAAAAAAAAGUUUAUUUCAUUA